AACACUGUAGCCCGGAUUCACUCAUGCCUUUAUUUCUUCAACAGAUGUCAAGAGGUAUCUACAGUGUGCCAGGGACGUGGGGGACCGUUGAUAUUCUAAUGGGGCUGAUGGACAAUGAACAAGACAGGGAGGAAACAGUUGUAGUAAUUCACCAUGGGAGCUAAGGAGAAAAAGGGAUCCCAAGAAGACGGUCAAGGGGGUCACGCAGAGUGUGGUCCACAGCUGAUGCCAGCAGAGCGGACUGCCUUCCCCCCAGCGCGCAGCGCCCCGAAGGAGGGCUGGGCCAAGUGGCCUUCUUCUCCCAACCCGAAGGUGCCCUCAGGGCUGAGGGGCUACCCUCGUGGACACGGCUGGGCGGUCGUCCCUGGCUGCUCUCCUGGGGCAUCCUUCCUCCACUGCAGACGCCAGCCCAGCCUCAGCAGGGGUGCCGAGGGGACCCUGGUGAGCCGACCGGCCCGCGGAAGCGUGGGAGGGUCCCGAGGCCCCCUUGAGACGAGGGGGAAAUUUCCUUCUCUCCCCGUCUUGGAGGAGAUGAGUGCAUCUCUAGGGCGCGCCCUCAGAUCCUCUGACCUCAGGCCCUCUGACGCUUCCCUGUCUCUUUAUUAGAUACUCACAGCCGCGGUUACGGUCCCGCAGGAGGUAAAACCACGCGAAGGGACGUGAUGGGUAAGUGUAAGCUUCUCCCUGCCUGCACCAUCUCCUCUACUCGGAUGCAAUGACUCUUCCCCAAAGGGUCCAGGCCUUUAGUGGCAGAAAUCUCUAGAAAGAUAAACCCGCCCCUACCCUACAGUGUGUCUGGGGCUUCUUUCUAAGAGCUCUGGGUUUUGAUCUGCGUGCGCUGUCACGGUGGGUCAAGUGUUAGGCUUUGGGUCCAGUUUUCCUCCACCGCAGAGACUGCUGGUUCUCCCGAGGGCACCGUGGGGCAUGUCAGGGUGCGAGGGGCUGCCCAGCCCUCCCACUGCUGACCGAGAGGAGUGGCCCCUUCUUUUCAAGCCUCCUGUGGGCUUGAGCUGGAGGUCACCACAGGGCGUUGGGCCCAGGAGGGACUAGUCUGUGAGUAGAGGGGGCAGGAAGGACUCCUACUGUCCCUGCAGUCCUGGGGAGAUGCUGGUAUGCUGGGCUCAGGGCUCCCCACACCUGAUGCCGGAAUCUGGCCACGCCAGGCCAGUGUCCUCCUGCCUCCCUGAAAUAGAUCGGAAGCUGAGUCCAGCAAUUAAUCCCACGAGAAGUCUGCGUGAUUGCAGGGGGUUUUCUGUUUUGCUCCCUUGGCCUAGAUUUCCCCGGGGACCGUUCUGACCCAUGCCUCGUGCUUGGUAAAUUAAACAUUAAAAAAAAAUCUACACGAUGACUUCAAUCAAUUCGUUGAGAUGGCGGGCAGCCUCCUCCCAGAAGAGCUGGGUCCACUGGAGGGACCCCACCCCCAGGCUUGGGGUCUUAGAAGGGGGGGAGGCAGGACAGUUCUCCCCAGUGCCUGCCUCUGAGGGGAGGGGAGAAGGUGGGAGUUCCCCAGGGUGGCCUGUUGGAGCUCAGUGCCCCCUAAAUCCAGACU
ensembl:lincRNA